UACGUAGGGGCAAGCGUUGUCCGGAAUCAUUGGGCGUAAAGAGCGUGUAGGCGGCCCGAUAAGUCCGCUGUGAAAGUCCAGGGCUCAACCCUGGAAUGCCGGUGGAUACUGUCGGGCUCGAAUCCGGAAGAGGUGAGUGGAAUUCCUGGUGUAGCGGUGAAAUGCGCAGAUAUCAGGAGGAACACCGGUGGCGAAGGCGGGUCUCUGGGCAACAACUGACGCUGGAGGAGCGAAAGCGUGGGGAGCGAACAGG
rnacentral:rRNA from 1 species